GAUAAACGCUGGCGGCGCACAUAAGACAUGCAAGUCGAACGAACUUAAUUGAGAGCUUGCUCUCAAAGCGGUUAGUGGCGGACUGGUGAGUAACACGUAAGCAACCUGCCUAUUAGAGGGGAAUAACAGCGAGAAAUCGUUGCUAAUACCGCAUAUGCUGUGAGUAUCGCAUGAUACAAGCAGGAAAGGAGCAAUCCGCUAAUAGAUGGGCUUGCGUCUGAUUAGUUAGUUGGUGGGGUAACGGCCUACCAAGACGAUGAUCAGUAGCCGGACUGAGAGGUUGAACGGCCACAUUGGGACUGAGAUACGGCCCAGACUCCUACGGGAGGCAGCAGUCGGGAAUAUUGCGCAAUGGAGGAAACUCUGACGCAGUGACGCCGCGUGCAGGAAGAAGGUUUUCGGAUUGUAAACUGCUUUUAACAGGAAAGAAAAAAUGACGGUACCUGUGAAUAAGCU
rnacentral:rRNA from 1 species